rnacentral:rRNA from 1 species
CCUUGUACACACCGCCCGUCACACCAUGGGAGUGGGUUGCUCCAGAAGGACGUUAGUCUAACCGCAAGGGGGACGACGCCCACGGAGUGGUCCAUGACUGGGGUG